rnacentral:rRNA from 1 species
UACAGAGGUCUCAAGCGUUGUUCGGAUUCAUUGGGCGUAAAGGGUGCGUAGGUGGCGAUGUAAGUCUGGUGUGAAAUUUCGGGGCUCAACCCCGAAACGGCAUUGGAUACUGCGUUGCUCGAGGACUGUAGAGGAGAGUGGAAUUCACGGUGUAGCAGUGAAAUGCGUAGAUAUCGUGAGGAAGACCAGUUGCGAAGGCGACUCUCUGGGCAGUUCCUGACACUGAGGCACGAAGGCCAGGGGAGCAAACGGG